rnacentral:rRNA from 1 species
UGCGCAGGCGGUUAUGCAAGACAGAUGUGAAAUCCCCGGGCUCAACCUGGGAAUUGCAUUUGUGACUGUAUGGCUAGAGUGUGUCAGAGGGGGGUAGAAUUCCACGUGUAGCAGUGAAAUGCGUAGAUAUGUGGAGGAAUACCGAUGGCGAAGGCAGCCCCCUGGGAUAACACUGACGCUCAUGCACGAAAGCGUGGGGAGCAAACAGGAUUAGAUACCCUGGUAGUCCACGCCCUAAACGAUGUCUACUAGUUGUCGGGUCUUAAUUGACUUGGUAACGCAGCUAACGCGUGAAGUAGACCGCCUGGGGAGUACGGUCGCAAGAUUAAA